AUUGAACGCUGGCGGCAGGCCUAACACAUGCAAGUCGAACGAGUGGCGGACGGGUGAGUAAUGUCUGGGAAACUGCCUGAUGGAGGGGGAUAACUACUGGAAACGGUAGCUAAUACCGCAUACCAUCAGAUGUGCCCAGAUGGGAUUAGCGUGUUGGUGGGGUAACGGCUCACCAAGGCGACGACCCCCAGCUGGUAUGAGAGGAUGACCAUCCAAACUGGAACUGAGCCACGGUCCAGACUCCUACGGGAGGCAGCAGUGGGGAAUAUUGCAAAAUGGGAGCAAGCAUGAUGCAGCCAUGACGCGUGUAUGAAGAAGUCCUUCGGGUUGUAAAGUACUUUCAGCGGGGAGGCGUUAACCGCAGAAGAAGCACCGGCUAACUCCGUGCCAGCCGCCGCGGUAAUUC
rnacentral:rRNA from 1 species